UUCGCAAUGCCCGAAAGGGUGACGAAGCGACGCCGCGUGUGGGAAGAAGGCCUUCGGGUUGUAAACCACUGUCGGGAGUUAAGAAAUGCAAGGAUAUGAAUAGUGUCUUUGCUUGACUAUGGCUCCGGAGGAAGCCACGGCUAACUCUGUGCCAGCAGCCGCGGUAAUACAGAGGCGGCAAGCGUUGUUCGGAAUUAUUGGGCGUAAAGAGCACGUAGGCGGCUAUGUAAGUCGGUUGUGAAAGCCUUCCGCUCAACGGGAGAACAGCAUCCGAUACUACAUGGCUUGAGUGCGGGAGGGGAGAGUGGAACUUCUGGUGGAGCGGUGAAAUGCGUAGAUAUCAGAAGGAACGCCGGCGGCGAAAGCGGCUCUCUGGCCCAUAACUGACGCUGAGUGUGCGAAAGCUAGGGGAGCAAACAGGAUUAGAUACCCCGGUAGUCCUAGCCGUAAACGAUGGGCACUAAGUAGAGGGGUUUU
rnacentral:rRNA from 1 species